rnacentral:lncRNA from 1 species
ACCUGUCCGGCCACCCGAUCGGCCCCAUCGGCGCCGACGUCAAGUACUGCCAGUCCAAGAGCAUCCUCGUCUUCCUCUCCAUCGGCGGGCUCGGCACCCAGUAUUCCCUGCCCAGCGUGCAGGCCGCCACCGACCUCGCCGACUACCUCUGGUUCGCCUUCCUAGCCGGCCACCGCAAGGGCGUCCACCGCCCGUUCGGCGACGCCGCGGAGCUCGACGGCAUCGACCUGUUCAUCGACCAGGGCCCGCCGGACUACUACGACGUGCUGGCGCGCCGGCUGUGGAGCUACAACAAGGACUUCCGCGGCCGCACGCCGGCGCAGCUGUCGGCGACGCCGCGGUGCCGGUACCCGGACCCGCGGCUGGAGCGGGCGCUCGCCACGGGGGUCGUCACACGCAUCAACGUCAGGUUCUACGGCGCCGACGGGUACUGCGCCGCCUACUGGCAGCUGGAGUGGGACAAGUGGACGGCGGCGUACCCCAACUCCAUGAUCUACGUGGGGCUGCCGGCGUCGGAGCAGACGGUGGGCUACGUGCACCCCAAGAACCUCUACUACGGCGUCGUCCCGGUGGUGCAGAAGGCGGCCAACUACGGCGGCAUCAUGAUCUGGGAGCGAUACGCCGACAAGCAGAGCAACUACAGCAGCUACGCCAUCCAAUGGGCUUGAGCAGUUGAUCGAGCUCCAUCCAUCCAUGUUCCAUGCCUUACUCUGCUGUGUGUAUCUCCUCACUAGCGUGUGCUU